CCUACGGGGGGCAGCAGUGGGGAAUAUUGGGCAAUGGGCGCAAGCCUGACCCAGCAACGCCGCGUGAAGGAAGAAGGCUCUCGGGUUGUAAACUUCUUUUCUCAGGGACGAAGAAUGUGACGGUACCUGAGGACUAAGCCACGGCUAACUACGUGCCAGCAGCCGCAGCAAUACGUAGGUGGCAAGCGUUAUCCGGAUUCAUUGGGUGUAAAGGGCGUGUAGGCGGGAGCGCAAGUCAGAUGUGAAAACUCAGGGCUCAACCCUGAGCCUGCAUUUGAAACUGUGUUUCUUGAGUGCUGGAGAGGCAAUCGGAAUUCCGUGUGUAGCGAUGAAAUGCGUAGAUAUACGGAGGAACACCAGUGGCGAAGGCGGAUUGCUGGACAGUAACUGACGCUGAGGCGCGAAAGCGUGGGGAGCAAACAGGAUUAGAUACCCGAGUAGUC
rnacentral:rRNA from 1 species